GAAGCUUGAUAAGUGUGUAAAAGACACUCUGUUGGACCCUUGGUAUUCCAACUCCGAAAGCAAACAUUAGAAAGGAAGAUAUUGUGUCAAAGCUGUUGGACUUCAUUGCUGAACCUCACUCUGCAGCUGAAUCUUGGGGCUCUUAUGACCAGGGAUCAAAUUCUAAAAAACGCAAGAGAGGAGGUGAAAGUGCAAGUAAGACGCCUGAUGGCACACCUAGUAGGUCGAGGAAGAAAUUUGUCGAUGACGAUACUUCUAGUAAAAGGCAGAAUAAAGCGCUCCAGUAUGAUAUUGAUG